rnacentral:rRNA from 1 species
UACGUAGGGUGCGAGCGUUGUCCGGAAUUAUUGGGCGUAAAGAGCUCGUAGGCGGUGUGUCGCGUCGGCCGUGAAAACCCGGGGCUCAACCCCGGGCCUGCAGUCGAUACGGGCAGGCUAGAGUCCGGCAGGGGAGACUGGAAUUCCUGGUGUAGCGGUGAAAUGCGCAGAUAUCAGGAGGAACACCGGUGGCGAAGGCGGGUCUCUGGGCCGGAACUGACGCUGAGGAGCGAAAGCGUGGGGAGCGAACAGG